rnacentral:rRNA from 1 species
AACGAACGCUGGCGGCAUGCCUAACACAUGCAAGUCGAACGAGAUCUUCGGGUCUAGUGGCGCACGGGUGCGUAACGCGUGGGAAUCUGCCCUUUGGUUCGGAACAACAGUUAGAAACGACUGCUAAUACCGGAUGAUGACGAAAGUCCAAAGAUUUAUCGCCAGAGGAUGGGCCCGCGUAGGAUUAGCUAGUUGGUGUGGUAAAGGCGCACCAAGGCGACGAUCCUUAGCUGGUCUGAGAGGAUGAUCAGCCACACUGGGACUGAGACACGGCCCAGACUCCUACGGGAGGCAGCAGUGGGGAAUAUUGGACAAUGGGCGAAAGCCUGAUCCAGCAAUGCCGCGUGAGUGAUGAAGGCCUUAGGGUUGUAAAGCUCUUUUACCCGGGAUGAUAAUGACAGUACCGGGAGAAUAAGCUCCGGCUAACUCCGUGCCAGCAGCCGCCGUAA